CGCCUGUUCACAGCCCCGAAUCAUUCACAGCGCCAAUUAGCCCGGGCUGGGUCCUCCGGCAGAGCGGGGGCGAGCGCGCGGGAGUCCAUUUCCAGCGCCCUGACGCCAGCUGAGUCCCGCGCCCGGUAACGCGGGCUUUCAAGGGCAAGGCCGCCGCCGCGUCCCUCCGUGUCAGCGCAUUUCCCUUUCUUCCCCGCUUCAAGAACAACUGAAGUGUGGGUAGGAGAGCCAUUUAGUCCCAACUAAAGACGAAAAUGUUUUUUCCUUCUGAUAAUGUUCCCUGUUCCGUCACUCGGUAUUAUGCUCCAUAAUGUGCCGCGUGCAGCCAUUUUGUCAUCGCUUUGGGUCAUCCUUGCUCACAAUUGGUUAUUUACUCAGGGGCUUUUGAAAUUAUUGAGUUGACACAUCUGUCAGACGGCAAAAGCAGAAAUGCUAAAAGGUCACUUGGAGAGAAACCAGCUGCUCCAGACAAACCUUUCUGCCUCCAAAUAGCACAAUCAUUACAGCCUGGCAGAUGGGGCCUUCGCUUUCACUUCAGACGCUCCCCUUGCCUUCAGGAAACCAGUUUCCUCACGGAUAUGAGCUACCCAACGCUUGCCACAAACUUUCCUGUUAACAGAUUCGUUUUGACAGUGGUGAGAAGAGUGACUCUGAAAAGCCUGCUUCAAAAGGACCCAACAUUUGCUGGUGCAGUGGCUGGCACCUGUAUCCUAGCAACUCCAGAGGCUGAAACGAGAGGAUCCCUUGAGCCUGGGAGUUUGAGGCUGCAGUGAGCUAAGAUGGUGGCAUUCCAGUCUGGGUGACGGGACAAGACUCUAUCUCUUAAAAAAAAAAAAAAAGGGCCCAAUACUAGAGAUGUUCAAUGUGUGAUCUGAAGAUUUCAGUCUUUGAGUUGUCAAGAAGAGGAAAUUUUAACUAAUGCAGAAUUCAAUUUUUCUUUAACUUAUAACAUUUUAGAAAGAAAACAUUAAUAAGGACUUUGGUUUGCUGUCAUGAAAACAAGCUGCAGUUGUGGCAGUCAGCACAAUUUCAGAACUCAGACUUAAGUGCAUCAACCCAACCAGGUCUAGCCUAGCUGUGGCCUCAAGUAAGACCUACUUGAGGGGCUGAAUCAAUACUGAAGUGCUCCAAUGAGCCUCUCCCAGAGAUCCCCUGGAGAUUUUAUGGGCCUCAUUAAGCCCAGAGACA
rnacentral:lncRNA from 10 species